rnacentral:rRNA from 1 species
UACGUAGACCUCGAGCGUUAUCCGGAUUUAUUGGGCGUAAAGAGCGUGUAGGUGGUUUUGCGCGUCUUCUGUUAAAGAUCACCGCCCAACGGUGGAAGUGCAGAGGAUACGGCAGGACUAGAGCGAGUAGAGGCAAGUAGAACGCACGGUGUAGGGGUGAAAUCCGUUGAUAUCGUGCGGAAUACCAAUGGCGAAGGCAGCUUGCUGGGACUCCGCUGACACUGAGACGCGAAAGCGUGGGGAGC